AACUGAAGACUCUAGAUCCUUUGUGGGGCCUGCUAGCCAAGCGACAGAAGUGCCCUACAAAGUGCCAAUGGGCGGUUCGCAUCUGUCACACACCUCUGAGAGCUUUGUCCUUUAAACUUCUAAUCAGUUCCAGGGAGUAAAACUGGCCUCCCAGAUGUGUGGAACUACCCCUGGAUCUAUAGCUCUUUGUCACCGUCUUCUUUCUACCUUCUGAGAGACCCCGAAACCCUUGCCAUGGAAAAGUACCACGUUUUGGAGAUGAUUGGAGAAGGCUCUUUUGGGAGAGUGUAUAAGGGCCGAAAAAAAUACAGUGCUCAGGUGGUGGCCUUGAAGUUCAUCCCCAAACUGGGGCGCUCAGAGAAAGAGCUGAGGAAUCUGCAACGAGAGAUUGAAAUCAUGCGGGGUCUGUGGCAUCCCAACAUUGUGCAUAUGCUCGACAGCUUUGAGACUGACAAAGAGGUGGUGGUGGUGACAGACUACGCUGAAGGAGAACUCUUUCAGAUUCUGGAAGAUGAUGGAAAACUUCCUGAAGACCAGGUUCAGGCCAUCGCUGCCCAGUUGGUGUCAGCUCUGUACUACCUGCAUUCCCACCGCAUCCUACACCGCGACAUGAAACCGCAGAACAUUCUUCUCGCCAAGGGUGGUGGCAUUAAACUUUGUGACUUUGGAUUCGCCCGAGCUAUGAGCACCAACACCAUGGUGCUGACGUCGAUCAAAGGCACACCGCUCUAUAUGUCUCCAGAGCUGGUGGAGGAGCGACCAUAUGACCACACCGCAGACCUCUGGUCUGUGGGCUGCAUCCUGUAUGAGCUGGCUGUCGGCACGCCUCCCUUCUACACCACCAGCAUCUUUCAGCUGGUUAGCCUCAUUCUCAAGGACCCUGUGCGCUGGCCCUCCACCAUUAGUUCCUGCUUCAAGAACUUCUUGCAGGGGCUGCUCACCAAGGACCCCCGGCAGCGUCUGUCCUGGCCAGACCUCUUACAUCACCCCUUUAUUGCCGGCCGUGUCACCAUCAUAACUGAACCAGCAGGCUCCGAUUUGGGCACCCCAUUUACUAGUCGCCUACCCCCAGAACUUCAGGUCCUCAAGGAUGAACAGGCGCAUCGGCUCGCACCCAAGGGUAACCAGUCUCGCAUCCUGCGCCAGGCCUGUAAACUCAUGGCUGAAGAAGCCAAGCAGAAGGAAGACCAAAAUGCAGGAUCUGCCCUUGAACAAGAAGACGGGCUCUGCAAGGUGACACCCAGCACAGCCCCCGUGCCUGGACUAAAGGCCACUCCUCAGGAGUCAAGCCUCUUGGCUGGUAUACUGGCUUCAGAAAUGAAGAACAACUGGGAAGACUGGGGGGCUGGAGAAGCACCCCGUACCUCUCGGGAAAACCACAUCAACCUGGAGUGUGAACAAGGCUUCCCAGAGCCGAGGCCAGAGGCGAUGGGCCGGCAGAGCACUGAUGUAGUGGAUCCUGAAAAUGAGGAGCCAGACAGUGAUGAUGAGUGGCAACGCCUACUAGAGACCAGCGAGCCUGGGCCUGUGCAGCUGAAGUCCCCCCUCACCCUGUUGUGUAACCCUGACUUCUGCCAGCGCAUCCAGAGUCAGCUGCGCGGGACUGGCGAGCAGAUCCUGAAAGGCGUUCUGGAUGGUGUGUCCCACCUCCUUCCUGUACUCCGCAUCCUGAGUAGUCUCCUAUCCAGCUGCAAUGACUCUGUGCUCUUGUAUUCCUUCUGCCAGGAGGCAGGACUGCCUGAGCUGCCUCUCAGCCUUCUUAGGUACAGCCAGGAGAGUAGCAGCAUCCAGCAGUUUUAGUGAUAGUAAGACGGACCACAUCAGCCUGGAUGCCCCCUCUGCUGCUGAGUGACAGACUCGCAACCUUGGUAUGGGGCGCUCUUACGGGACCUGGUGGCUGUGGUUCAGGCCUACUUUUCGUGCACCUUCAAUCUGGAGAGGAGCCAGACAGGUGACAGCCUACAGGUGUUUCAGGAGGCCGCCAGCCUCUUUUUGGACCUGUUGGGGAAGCUGCUGGCCCAAUCAGAUGAUUCCGAGCAGACAUUUCGAAGGGAUAGCCUUAUGUGCUUUGCUGUCUUGUGUGAAGCUGUGGACGGAAACAGCUGGGCCGUCUCCAAAGCCUUCUACUCCAGCCUGUUGACCACACAGCGCGCUGUGUUGGAUGGCCUCCUUCACGGCCUGACAGUCCCACAGCUUCCUUUCCACACACCACCAGGAGCCCCACAAGUGAGCCAGCCGCUGCGGGAGCAGAGUGAAGAUGUACCUGGAGCCAUCUCUUCUGCCCUGGCAGCCAUGUGUACUGCUCCUGUGGGGCUGCCCAGCUGUUGGGAUGCCAAGGAGCAGGUCUCUUGGCAUUUGGCCAACCAGCUAACUGAAGACAGCAGCCAACUGAGGCCAUCCCUCAUCUCUGGUCUGCGACACCAUGUCCUGUGCCUCCACCUUCUCAAGGUUCUCUACGCCUGCUGCUAUAUUAGUGAGCGCCUGUGCCAUAUUCUGGGGCAAGAGCCCCUGGCCUUGGAGUCGCUGCUGAUGUUAGUCCAGGGCAAGGUGAAAGUAGCAGAUUGGGAAGAGUCCACUGAGGUGGCACUUUACCUCCUGUCCCUUCUUGUCUUUCGGCUCCAAGAUCUGCCUUCAGGGAUGGAGAAGCUGGGCAGUGAGGUUGCUACUCUCUUUACCCACUCACAUGUCGUCUCUCUUGUGAAUGCGGCAGCCUGUCUCUUAGGACAGCUUGGUCAGCAAGGGGUGACCUUUGACCUCCAGCCCCGGGAAUGGAUUGCUGCAGCUGCACAUGCCUUGUCUGCCCCUGCAGAGGUCCGGCUGACUCCGCCGUAUAGUUGUGGCUUCUAUGAUGGCCUCCUCAUUCUCCUGCUUCAGCUUCUUAUGCAGGGGAAGCCUGGCCUGAUCAGGGAUGUGGUUGGUUCAGAGGUGUGGACCAUUCUGUGGCACCGCUUUUCCAUGGCCCUGAGGCUGCCCGAGGAGGUGUCUGCCCAGGAAGACGACCUGCUACUAUCAAGUCCCUCCAGCCUAGAGCCAGACUGGACACUGAUUUCACCCCAAGGCAUGGCAGCCUUGCUGAGCCUGGCCAUGGCCAUCUUCACCCAGGAGUCCCAGUUAUGCCUGAGCCACCUGUCCCAGCAUGGCAGUGUCCUCAUGCUGACCCUGAAGCACCUGCUUUCACCCAGCUUCUUGCACCACCUGAGCCAGGCGCCGCAGGGGCCCGAGUUUCUCCCCGUUGUGGUGCUCUCCGUGUGCAAGCUGCUCUGCUUCCCUUUUGCCCUGGAUGUGGAUGCUGACCUCCUUGUAGGUGUCUUGGCUGACCUCAGGGCCUCGGAAGUGGUAGUCUGCCUGCUGCAGGUACAUGGAGGAGUUCCCCCUGUUCACUGGUCUUUUAUCUGGUUCUAUUGGAACUCCGCCAAGAGGCCAGGUACUGGAGCACAGCUCCUUGGUCAGGAAUUACUGCCCUACACUCUUUAGUGUUAGACCUUGGAUCUUUGGAGGCAGAAAUUGUGCCUCUGCAGAGCCAGGUGUAAGUGUAGAAAGAAUCUGCUCUUGGGCUCCAAUUUGGUUUCAUGUUUUAUGCUAUGGGGAAAGGCUCUGCUGCCUUGAAGAUUUCUUUCCUUGGCUUGGCAUUUCUUUCUGCCAGCUUUUGCUCUCCUUUGCCAUUGCAGAAUAUACCUCUCCCUCUUGCCUGAAUGCUCAUUUCUUCCAGGUCUGCUGCCACCACCUUUCGUUGUUACAAGCAGAGCUGCCCAUUGGCCUCCUUACACGCCUGGCCCUCACGGAUUCUGCCUCUCUCAAGCAGUUUGUGAACACAGUGGCCACCUCUUCUAGAGCCAUCAUCUCAUUCCUCUCUGUUGUUCUCCUGAGUGACCAGCCCCUCAUGAUCUCUGACCUCCUGUCCCUGCUGACACACACAGCCCGGAUUCUGUCCCCCAGCCACUUGUCCUUUAUCCAAGAGCUCCUGUCUGGCUCUGAUGAAUCCUAUCGGCCAUUGCGCAGCCUCCUAGGCCACUCAGAGAACACUGUGCGGGUCCGUGCAUAUGGGCUCCUGGGACAUUUAUUACAGCACAGCAUGGCCCUACGUGGGGCACUACAGAGUCAGUCAGGACUGCUCAACCUUCUGCUGCUAGGGCUUGGAGACAAGGACCCUGCCGUGCGACGCAGUGCCAGCUUUGCUGUGGGCAAUGCAGCCUACCAGGCUGGGCCUUUGGGACCUGCCUUGGCAGCUGCAGUGCCCAGUAUGACCCAGCUGCUUGGAGAUGCUCAGGAUGGGAUCCGGCGCAAUGCUGCAUCAGCUCUAGGCAAUCUGGGACCUGAAGGAUUGGGCAAGGAGCUAUUAAAGUGCCAAGUACCCCAGCGGCUCCUAGAAAUGGCAUGUGGAGACCCUCAGCCAACUGUCAAAGAGGCUGCCCUCAUUGCCCUUCGAAGCCUCCAACAGGAGUCCUGUAUUCAUCAGGUGCUGGUGUCGCUGGGUGCCAGUGAGAAGUUAGCCUUGCUCUCUUUGGGGAAUCAGUUACUGCCGAAUAGCAGCAACAGGCCUGCCUCCGUCAGACACUGCAGGAAGCUCAUCCAACUCCUGAGGCCAACCCACAGCACAUGAGCCCGCACUCCUGGGGUUACCUCCAGCCUUCACUGUCCUACUGUUGCCAAGAUUUCCUUAUUCUCCUACCCAAGCUACUAACUCAGCCAAGAGCUGAUGAGACUGAGAAAGAGUGCUGAGCUGCCAACUCCCCUCCAAGUGAGAAACUAGAAGAGAUUUUCUUAUUAAAGCUUCCUUUCCCUAGACUUAUGAUGACUUGAAUCAGUAAACUUCAUCACUGUUGGUGCCAGAGAAAAUCCCUUCCUCUCUACACGUAGGGAUCUUUCCUCCAGUAAUGGGCCCUCAACCCCAGGACCAUGCCAUCCACCCAGGCCUUAAGGGAAAAAACUACCUCUGCCUUACUGGCUCUCCUGUAAUCUGCCCGGCUACUUUUGCCUUAAGUACACUACUGACCUCUGUUUCAGCUCUGCCCCAUGGGGAUAAAUGUCAUUACCCCUAUUGUUGAGGGGUUCCUCAGCUCGUAGCCUACCUGAAGCUCCCAAGGUAAGGGGUGGGAAGCUUGGGCCCUUUUCUAGCUUCUCUGACACCGGAAGCCCUGUACCCUGUUCACACAAGAUCCUGGUUUAGAGAAUUGUUUAUACCUUUCAAGGAAAGGCCAGUGGAGCUAAUACAGACACGACUGGGGCUAAACAGAGGUAAAGCAAGGUGCUUUGAGAUAAUACAGUCAUUUUAGUAUUUAAUGCAGUGUCAAUGGAUAUGGAACCCUAGCUGCUUUGAAAAUUUAUGGAGACUGGCGUUUACCAGAAAAAAGUGUUUGACUGUCCCAUUAGUUAGACUCGAAUGUAACCAGUUUACCUGAAAGGUCGUUGGGCAGACACAUUAGAAUCUAACUGCAUGUGUAUUAGGAAGCUUGACUGAGAUAAGCUUCCAGGUCCCCGAUUUCUCCAUCCAGUAAAAGGAGAGGCUCCUCUUGGUACCGCUCAGCGAUCAGUGCUUGCUCCUAGGUAUGGGGUGCUCGGGUUCAGUCCCCAGCUGAUGGGAGGGGGAGAAAGGUGCCUUUCUGUCCUUCCUUAAUUAAAGGUUUUAAGAAAUGAAA